rnacentral:lncRNA from 1 species
UUGAUCUUUUCUCAAUCAACUUGAAUAUGGGUUCGCACGUGGCUGUUAAAUGAGAUAUGAACCAUGAAAUGUAGUUCAAUCUACCUAAGAAACCACGAACCUCCUUUUCUGUUCUCGGUUCAGGCAUUUCUUGUAUUGCUUUUUUCUUUUCUUUUUUUUCUUUUUUUAGCAGGAUCGACCUCGAUUCCUCUUUCAUUCACAAUAAGCCUCAGCAACUUACCGGACCGCACUCUAAAAGUGCACUUAUUCGGUUUCAACCUCAG